rnacentral:rRNA from 1 species
GGGCAGCAUGUCGGUUGCUUGCAACCGAUGAUGGCGACCGGCGCACGGGUGAGUAACGCGUAUCCAACCUACCCUUGUCCAUCGGAUAACCCGUCGAAAGGCGGCCUAACACGAUAUGCGGUUCUCAGCAGGCAUCUAACGAGAACGAAAUGUGAAGGAGAAGGAUGGGGAUGCGUCUGAUUAGCUUGUUGGCGGGGUAACGGCCCACCAAGGCAACGAUCAGUAGGGGUUCUGAGAGGAAGGUCCCCCACAUUGGAACUGAGACACGGUCCAAACUCCUACGGGAGGCAGCAGUGAGGAAUAUUGGUCAAUGGACGAGAGUCUGAACCAGCCAAGUAGCGUGCAGGAUGACGGCCCUAUGGGUUGUAAACUGCUUUUAUAGGGGGAUAAAGUGUGCCACGUGUGGCAUAUUGCAGGUACCCUAUGAAUAAGGACCGGCUAAUUCCGUGCCAGCAGCCGCGGUAAUACGGAAGGUCCAGGCGUUAUCCGGAUUUAUUGGGUUUAAAGGGAGCGUAGGCCGUUUGGUAAGCGUGUUGUGAAAUGUCGGGGCUCAACCUGGGCAUUGCAGCGCGAACUGCCAGACUUGAGUGCGCAGGAAGUAGGCGGAAUUCGUCGUGUAGCGGUGAAAUGCUUAGAUAUGACGAAGAACUCCGAUUGCGAAGGCAGCCUGCUGUAGCGCAACUGACGCUGAAGCUCGAAAGCGUGGGUAUCGAACAGGAUUAGAUACCCUGGUAGUCCACGCGGUAAACGAUGGAUGCUCGCUGUUUGCGUCUGACGUAAGCGGCCA